UGGUCGAUCCAGAUUUGUUGAUUUCGGCGGCCAUUUUGUUUUUUCUUAAAUAGGCCCGUAUUUUUUUACUGUAUUUUCUUAUUUAUCAUCAAUAUUUGAGCUUUUUAGUGGUGUUUUUCGUACUCAGCUUUCAAAUUUACCCUAUGUACAUCUAUUUCCAGUCAUUUUGUCUUAAUUUUUUUACCAGUUAUCUUUCUCUCUCUUGCCUAUAGGAACUGUCAAAAUGGUGAUAUUUCCUUCAGUAACCAGCUUUUUUCCCAUCAAAACACCCCUAUUUUCUUUGUAAAAUAUCAAUUAUGGGGUAGGGCUUGGGACCCUUUUUCUGAAGAAAUUACCAGUAUUAUUGGUUAUCAGUGGAAUUUUCUUCAUCGUUAACUAUGAAGGCUGGAAUAAGAACAUAGUAGCUAUUGAAUUCGUUUAAUUGGAAAUAUGGAACGUAAAGGUUGUGAUUUAACAAGCGAAGAACAAAAGGCUCGAGUUAAGAAGUACAAUGACAGUCGAAGAAAAGGAAUGAAAUCUUUCGGACUAUUUGCUAGUCGUGCGGAUAACUCAGGAGACGGAAAAGUUCUGAACUUGUAGCUCAAAGUAGGAAUAAGCAAAAGAGAGAUGAAAUUUUUUAUCGGUGGCCAGAUAUCCAUGAUCAACCAGCUCAUUCAUUUACGGGGUCACCUGGGACUUGCAAGCUAGGAAGCACUUUAUUAGUUCAAACUACACAAGGUUUACGUCAGAUUUGCACAUUAAAAAUCUAUUUCGAAAAUAGUGACGCAUUACAAAUCGAAGAAUUGGAAUGAUGUUGUUCGCGGUGCGGAAUUCCAGCAAUUCGCUUAUCAUCGUAUCCUAAUAAUGUUGUUUCUUGAGUUAAAUGCGCCCGAACAAGUACUUGAUUCCAUCAAUUUCCAAGUUUUGACGGCUUUCUGUCAUACACUGCACAUUCUGAGACCAGCGAAGGCCCCAGGCUUUGCGUAUGCCUGGCUAGAAAUAUUUUCGCAUACGGUUUUCAUCGGGCGAUUGCUGUUGAUUACUCCCCAACAGAAAGGAUGGGGGAUGUAUACUCAACUGUUGAUCGACUUAUUCAAGUUUUUGGCCCCAUUUCUACGGAACGUUGAACUGAGCAAGCCUGCAAUGUUGUACAAAGGAACACUGCGCGUCCUGCUGGUUUUGUUGCAUGACUUUCCCGAAUUCCUUUUCGACUAUCAUUAUGGAUUCUGUGAUGUGAUUCCUCCCAAUUGCAUUCAAAUGAGAAAUUUGAUUUUGUCGGCGUUCCCACGCAACAUGCGUCUGCCUGAUCCAUUCACGCCCAGUCUCAAAGUGGACAUGUUACCGGAAAUCCGUCACGCUCCACGUGUACUGACUCAUUUCGCAGUUCAAUGAUCCAACCGCCUACGCUCAAAAAGGAUUUGAACUCGUACCUGUAAACGCGCGGACCAGUUACGUUUCUUUCGGAGUUACGAAGUGUAGUUCAGGUUCACGUUUCUUCGAUUAAUCUUCACGUUUCACCUGAACCUGGAAUGCACUAUAAUUUGCCCUUGCUGAACGCAUUGGUCUUGUACGUUGGCACCCAGGCCAUACAAUCGAUACAGACCAAAGGAUUAUCUCCGUCAAUGGCGACUAAUGGCCACUCUUCUUACAUGGAUAUCUUCCAGAGUUUAGCCGUCAACCUUGACACGGAAGGGCGUUACUUGUUCAUCAACGCCAUUGCUAAUCAAUUGCGCUAUCCUAAUAGCCACACGCACUACUUCAGCUGCGUUCUGCUUUGCCUUUUCGCAGAAGCCAAUUCUGAGGCGAUUCAAGAACAAAUUACUAGGGUCCUGCUGGAGAGGCUCAUUGUCAAUCGACCCAUGACAUGACGAUGGGACGACAUGACGAUGGGUGCCAUGGGGAUUACUCAUUACAUUCAUUGAAUUGAUAAAGAACCCUGUUUUCAAAUUUUGGAAUCACGAAUUCGUCCACUGCGCCCCGGAAAUCGAAAAACUAUUUGAAUCGGUGGCUCUAUCAUGCA